UGUGUGUGUGUGUGUGUGCGUGUGUGUGUGUAUGUGUGUGUGUCGAAAGGAAACAACAUGGCUGAAGUUGCUGUCCGGACCGAGGGAAGAAGCAAAGGGAUUGUGAUCAGCGAUGACUGGUCAGGUUACAGUUUGGAUCUGUUCAGCUAUCCAGCUCACUACUCCGGAGAUCUGGACUGUGUCAUCAUCCCACAUGGCGUGAUUAUGGAUAGAACUGAGCGUCUUGCUCGAAACAUCAUGGAUGACCUGGGGGACCACGACAUCGUGGUGCUGUGCGUGCUGAAAGGAGGCUACCAGUUCUGUGCAGACCUGGUGGACCGGAUCAAGGCGCUCAGCUGCAACUCCGACCAUACAAUCCCCAUGAGGGUGCAAUUCAUCCGUCUCAAGAGCUAUCUGAACGACCAGUCGACAGAGGAUCUUCACAUACUCGGAGCAGAAGAUCUGUCUUUUUUAGAAGGAAAGAACGUACUGAUUGUGGAGGGCAUCGUGGGCACAGGAAAGACAAUGAAGACUCUCCUGAAGCAUGUCAAAGCGUUCAGGCCCAAAAUGAUCAAAGUAGCAGGACUGCUGGUGAAGAGAGUUCAACAAAGCUCAGCGUGUGUUCCUGACUGUAGAUGUCGGCUUUGAGAUACCUAAUCGUUUUGUGGUUGGAUAUGCGUUGGACUACAAUGAGUAUUUUAGGGACCUCAACCAUAUAUGUGCGAUCAGCGAAAGUGGGAAGAAGAAAUAUAAAAUCUAAAGAGAGGACAGCAACAGCAGAAAGUUUCACACACACGGCCUCUUUUAAUUCCAGGCCAUUUCCCGAAGAUGCCAUUCACCCACAGCUGCUGUGGUAGCUUCCAGUCUGAAGCAGCCGUUAUAACAUUCCUUCGAUUAAAAAAUAUACUUAAUAGUAAUACACACCAAUAUUUCAGUCAGUCAUAUAGGAACAAAAACAAGUAUCUACUUUUUGUGUCUUAAUACUGUAUAACAGGUUAAUUCUCUGUAUUAACAAACCAGUGCACAUGGUACAUGUUUACUACUUAGGAAAUCAGCGGUUUGAUUUUGAGGAUCUGAUUCUGAAACUAAUGAUAUUUCUGUUGUACUUCUUAUGGAAUGUUAGACCACUUGGUAAUUUGGAUGUGUACAUUAUAGAUGUUUUUUCAAGUCUGGUAAACAACUGGAACAUUUUUGAAAGACGGUUUAUUUUUAAUUUCUUCACUUGUAAAUUGCCUUUUGAACAUUUAUUUGAUAAUUCUUAUAUCACUUCUAAUGCUCAGGGGCAAGCAAUUUACUGUUGGUGACAUUACAUAGACUAACUACCUCUCUUGUUUUCUUCAGUUUUUGAUUUGGCGUACUUUUCUCCUUAAUCUUUUUACACUUUAUUCAUAUAAUAAAGCAUUUUUAACAUUUCUG